rnacentral:rRNA from 1 species
AUUGAACGCUGGCGGCAGGCUUAACACAUGCAAGUCGAGCGGAGAUGAGGUGCUUGCACCUUAUCUUAGCGGCGGACGGGUGAGUAAUGCUUAGGAAUCUGCCAUUUAGUGGGGGACAACAUUCCGAAAGGAAUGCUAAUACCGCAUACGUCCUACGGGAGAAAGCAGGGGAUCUUCGGACCUUGCGCUAAAUGAUGAGCCCAAGUCGGAUUAGCUGGGUGGUGGGGUAAAGGCCUACCAAGGCGACGAUCUGUAGCGGGUCUGAGAGGAUGAGCCGCCACGAUGGGACUGAGACACGGCCCAGACUCCUACGGGAGGCAGCAGUGGGGAAUAUUGGACAAUGGGCGGAAGCCUGAUCCAGCCAUGCCGCGUGUGUGAAGAAGGCCUUUUGGUUGUAAAGCACUUUAAGCGAGGAGGAGGCUACUAGUACUAAUACUACUGGAUAGUGGACGUUACUCGCAGAAUAAGCACCGGCUAACUCUGUGCCAGCAGCCGCGGUAACAC